rnacentral:rRNA from 1 species
AGUAAAAGUCGUAACAAGGUUUCCGUAGGUGAACCUGCGGAAGGAUCAUUAACGAUUGCUACCAAAGCACAAAAAGACAAAACGUAUGCUGUGGAUUUGACGCUAAAACUCCUGACGAGUUCAGGAAGGAUUAUGCCUCUCUCUCGCGAGAGGGGGGCCAUCGUGGUCGAUUUGUGUGCCUCUGUGCACCACGGACGAUGUAAAACAAACAACCUGUGGCUUCUCAUACAGUAUAAUACAUCUCUGCCUAUCAUACAGGCUUGGCUUCUGAUGAACCUAACGUUUGCUGUGCGGAUUUAACGCUAAAACUCCUGACGAGUUCAGGAAGGAUUAUGCCUCUCUCUCGCGAGAGGGGGGCCAUCGUGGUCGAUUUGUGUGCCUCUGUGCACCACGGACGAUGUAAAACAAACAACCUAUGGCCUCUCAUACAGUAUAAUAUCUAUCGCCAUGGUAUACAGGCCUGGCAUCUGGUACGAGUCUCUCGCAGUCUCAAAACCAACCUUACAACUCUGAGCGGUGGAUCACUUGGCUUGUGGAUGCUAUGAAGACCAUAGCUAAGUGUGAGAAUGGCAGCGAGCCGUCGCUAUAUGCGCUGUCCUCUUCUUAUCACAUGUCGAAUGCACAUUGCGCCCCACCCAGUGGUCGGCUAACAACCUGCAGACAAAAGCCUGGCAGUUGGAACAAAGGCAAGUGUGUGGCCCUCGAGCAACGGCGGGGGAGCCAGGAGCACACGGGCGUGCGGACCAGCUACUCGUGAGUAGUCAGGCUGACCCUAUGGUGGGGCACUCCUAGUCGAGUGUGGUGGAUCGGACUCACUCUCUUGUUGCGCGCUUGCGCGUGAUGGGGGUUUGAGUUUCUUUGUUGCUGGUGGCAUUUGGGUCGACAUCAGUCGUGCCCGUAAACAACUGCCUUGGCUCGUGCCUCUGUGCGUACUACCACCAAACCUCUGACCCUAUAUUUCUGGCGGUGGGGAGUGCGUACAUUGAAGGCCAAAGCUGGCGAUCACUCUUGCGGCCAGGGCACUACCUUUGCCAUUGUCAUUGCGAUGAUGGCGGUAGGGCGCACAGGUCCAAAAGGAUAUGAAAUACGAGAGUCGGGUCUCUGAUACUCAGCGCCCGCUUGUCCACGGUUAGUGGUAUGGUGAUAUGGUGUUCUCUGCGUAUACGCUUUUCUGGUAAAGGUUCGUCUCUCGUAGUAUUCGAGAAUGACAUACAGACGACCUCACCUCUUUUGUUCACACACGCUGGCAGAUGAAGAAACGCCUGACGAGUUCAGGAAGGAUUUUCUAAAAGUGUGUGAAAAAAGUAACAGAUUGGCCUGCAGUACCGCUCCACUCCAUGUUCGACCCGUGUGCAACCGUUGGUAUGAGAGAGGCUUGGCUGCUCGUGUUUGUCUGGAAGCCACCACCUCGACUUAGGAGAGGUUACCCGCUGAACUUAAGCAUAUCAGUAAGCGGAGGAAAAGAAACCAAUCAGGGAUUCCCUUAGUAGGGGCGACCGAACAGGGAUGAGCCCAGCGCAGAACCUCCCGGGCCACCCGGCCUGCGGCGGAAUGUUGCGUUAAGGGAAAGGUCGUAGUCAAACCCCACAGCCACGCGAGCUCUAAGUAAGUCACGAAUUGGCUAUCCCAACUAACGGCGGGAAAAUCUCCACGGAGGGUGUAAGACCCGUGUGGGCGCGUGUAAAUGCUGUGUGGGCUCGGCCUCUUUUCCCUGAGAGUCGCGUUGCUUGAGCAUGCAGCGCUAAGCAGGUCGUAAACUCGAUCUAAGGCUAAAUAUGUCCACAAGACCGAUAGCGAACAAGUACCGUGAGGGAAAGUUGAAAAGCACUCUGAAGAGAG